GUAUGACUCUCGGCAACGGAUAUCUCGGCUCUCGCCACGAUGAAGAACGUAGCGAAAUGUGAUACUUAGUGUGAAUUACAGAAUCCCGUGAAUCAUCGAGUCUUUGAACGUAAGUUACGCCUGAGGCCUCGGCCAAGGGCACGUCUGCUUGGGCGUCGCAU
rnacentral:rRNA from 1 species